rnacentral:rRNA from 1 species
UACGUAGGCAGCGAGCGUUGUUCGGAGUUACUGGGCGUAAAGGGUGUGUAGGCGGUUGGAUAAGUGUGGUGUGAAAUCUCCCGGCUCAACUGGGAGGGUGCGCUACAAACUGUCUGACUAGAGUGUGGGAUGGGUAAGUGGAAUUCCUGGUGUAGCGGUGGAAUGCGCAGAUAUCAGGAGGAACACCGAUGGCGAAGGCAGAUCUCUGGGCCGUAACUGACGCUGAGGAGCGAAAGCGUGGGGAGCAAACAGG